rnacentral:rRNA from 1 species
UACGAAGGGGGCUAGCGUUGCUCGGAAUCACUGGGCGUAAAGGGUGCGUAGGCGGAUACUUAAGUCAGGGGUGAAAUCCCGGGGCUCAACCCCGGAACUGCCUUUGAUACUGGGUAUCUCGAGUCCGGAAGAGGUGAGUGGAAUUCCGAGUGUAGAGGUGAAAUUCGUAGAUAUUCGGAGGAACACCAGUGGCGAAGGCGGCUCACUGGUCCGGUACUGACGCUGAGGUGCGAAAGCUAGGGGAGCGAACGGG